CUUAUUUGAAAAUACAUCAUUGGUUAAUAUUCCCUUUUGCUCAUUGAAAUCUCAAAGACUACAGGUGUGGUGCAAUUCCAUUAGAUGAAAGAGAUCUACACAUUCAGAAGCACAUGAUUCUUCCCCCUUCCAUGAUUCCAGUGGCCAAUAGAAUGGAGUGUAGUGGCGUGAUCUUGGCUCACAACAACUUCUGCUUCCCACAUUCAAGCGAUCCUCCCACCUUAUACUCCUGAGUAGCUGGAACCACAGACAAACUACAAUAAAGCCAUGCCCUGACUGGAUGUGCCUAACAUUUGUCUGGUGCUUAAAGGAGUUGGCUGCAUGCGUGGGAUGGAGAAGGAUUCAACAUUUAAUGGCAGUUAGAAUCAAAUUUUUAACUCAAGAAGGCAGAAGGAAUCCACCUAAAUAAAUGUUGGAAAGUCACCAAAAAUAGUUCUCCAAGUCAGAAGCGGUGCAAAAGCUGCCUCAGCUCUUGGUGGAUUUUCAAUUUCUCCCAGCCAUCUCUGUUUCGCUAAAGGUUUCUGAAGACAGUGGGUAUGUGGCAAACUUCUGCAAUUCUAUAUUAAGAUAAACUGUUAGAUCAA
rnacentral:lncRNA from 1 species